AAGAAAGGGAGACAAACUCCCAUACAGCCGAGCAACCCAGCGUCCAACAGCCUCCAGCAGCUGAGGAAGGCCCCCCGCUGCAGUUGGAUCUGUCGUAUUAUUCCUAUGAGUACGACCCGGACCCCUAUGCCUCUGAAGCUGACGUUUUUGAGAUGGUGGCAGAACUGACAACAGUGAGCACAUUCAGAGAAGCGGACACGAUUCAGGAAGUGGUGACCACCAUAGAAUGAAAUAUAUAAUUUAAAUAAGGAGAAGAGGCUCAGAAUCAACUCCCGUAUGAGUUUGUUCCAACAGAUGACCUGCUGCAGAACAGAAACUGAAUGAUGACUACUUCCUGCUGCCCUCAGAACUGUGUAGGCUUUUCUGCCCCGCGGGGAGAACCGGAGAGCAAAGAGGGACGCUCAGCGUUAUUCUUCUGUCAAUUCUUCUGCCUUUUGUGCCACCUCUUAGGAAUGCUUCCGAGGAUGGAAGGCCGAUAUGCUGUGCCC
rnacentral:lncRNA from 1 species